rnacentral:lncRNA from 1 species
AGAAUCUCUUGUUGAAGUAGGUAUGGCCUUGUUGGAAGAAGUAUGCCAUUGAGGGGGUAAUCUUUGAGAAUGCUCAGCUCCUCCUACACCAUCCUUGCCUGGACACUGCCGUGCCUCUGCCUUGAAGACAGAGGAUUGAACCUCUGAAUCUAAAUAUUUUUAAUUUUUUUUAAUUUUAAUAUAAUGUUAAAGAGACUGAGAAGACAAGUGGAACACACAUGCAUAAUAAUAGUGAAUGGGCUUAAGACCAUGCAUUGGUUGGACAUUGAGACAUAAGGUUGUAAAAGGUUUCUAUAAACACACAACUCUGGUUUACUUGUGAAGAAAGGAUUUUUCAAGUCAGUAUUCAGUGCUUGCAUCCAGACGAGCAAGAUCUUCAAUAAAUUGUCAGAAAGUAGGUAUGAUAAAAGACACACCAGACAUGACCAGAGUAUAUUAUGUAGGCAACUGUGGGAUCAAGGACUAGGUGCAUCCUCUCCCACUGAGGGCAGACAAGGUGGCUCAGUUGGUGUUGUAUAAAACCUGUUGGUUCUCUGUAAUCUUCUACUUCUACUUUUUAAUGGAUGGACCUAGAAAAGAUCAUAACAAGUGAGAAAGGAACCUAGCAUAACACCUCUGAGAUGAUCCAUCAAGCAGCCAAUAGAAAGAGAUGCAGAGACCCACAAUCAAAUAUUCAAUGGAGCACAGGGAGUCUUAUGAAAGAGUUGGGAGAGGAUUGAUGAAUCCGAAGAUGACAGAGGAUCCACAGGAAGACCAAGAGAGUCAACUAUCCUGGACCCUUGGGGACUCCAGAAACUCUUUGCACAUGUGUAACAGAUGCACAACUCGGUCACCGUAUUUGUCAUUAAUUCCUUUAUAUGACAUAGAGUGGUAUGAGCUCAUACCAUCAGGGAAUGUUGUCCCUGCCAAGGUUACUCGUGGAUAACCAGAAAAAGCAUGAUUCAGGAGAGUCGGUCUGUGUCUCUGUGAUACUAAGAUUUAAGGUUGUGGCAAAGAACUCUGAAAACAUGAGUUCUAGAAUAAAUAAAUCACUGUAAGAAUCCUUUAUUACGAGAUUUCUCAACUGUGCAAUAUAAAAGGUUGCAAAGUGAAUUGAAUGAGGGUCUUCAAGGACCUGAAAGGAAAGAAGCAGUUACACUAAUGAUUCAUCUUAGAGAGAUAUUAAGGAAGCCAGGUGUGCAAGAUAUGCUAGUACAAUGGUGCCACGAAGCUUUUAGGAAUAAGCAUUGAAUAUCUGAGUUGAAUUAAUGCUCACUUAAUGAGGUGGAACCCGUACACCACAGGGUGGGUUACUAAUCACCUGAGACUGGAUAGCCCAGAGACCUAGAGUAAAAUCAAAGUUUACUGGUAUUCAAAAAUUAAAAUAAAAUCCAAAUCAAAAAUAAAAAUAACUCCUAAUGAUAUCAAGUUAUACUUACAGAUUAGUGUCUUGCUUAACCGUCAUCAAAUAAGCUUUUUCCUACCAGGUUACUUACAAAAGGAAGGUUCAUUCACCCUACCAUUCUAUCUUAUAAUCUUUCAUUUAAGGAUAAUUAAGACAAGAGUUAAAAUCUAUAGUUGCAUAACAUCUACGGUCAAAAACAGAAAUAAAUAAAUGGAUUAAUCUUGCCAACUAGAACUCUUCACUCAUAUGGUUCAAAGCCCAGAUCAUAAAAUGAUACCCACUAUCAUAGGCUAUGAUUUGUUCCAUGAGCCAUCAUGGUAUCCCCACACAGACAUGCGGUUAGCCCAAUCAAUGGUAAUUAGAUAAAUCUUCAUUAAGAAGAUGACUAGGUGACUAGUCAUCCUAGUCAUCCUAGGUGACUCUAUUUUGUGCUAAGUUGACCAUUAAAAUUUAUUACACCACUAUCAUUUGCUUCCCUAGUAAAACUGGUGAAAUACGCUAGAGUCCACAGAUUCGAGUAAGCUCCUAACUGAUUGGAUGAGAAACAAUACUAUAGCAAACCUCACAGUUUAAAUUAAAUUAACAUACAAGUAAGGUGGGAUUUAGAUAUGACAUAUUUAUAGAAUGAUGUGCUUCUUUUUCAAAGUAAUUAUUCACCUAGCAAAAAGCAUCAUAAUUAUCAUGCUACAUUAAUGGUCACACUAAAGAAAUUACUACAUUAGUUUGAGUAUACAAGAAUAAUUCUCUUGAUUCUGCACAUCUGCAUUAGUUAUUUUGAGUAUAAGUAAAAAAAAAUUACUAUUUCACUAUUUCCUUAAUGAGUUAACCCUGUGUCCACUUAAUACAGCUACAAACAGACUGGCAUUCCAAGGACCAAAGCCAAAACAAACCAACCAAGCAAAAAAAACUUUUUUUUUUUUUUUUUUGACAAAAUUUUCUGGAAAGGGUGGCCACACUGGCAAUGGAUUCUGUGGUUUAUAUAUGGUUGAUUGAGAUAUUUAUACUUAAAAUAGUUAUUUUGGAAUCCUGUUAAGCAUUAUAUUAGCCCCAAUACUUAACUGAAGGAGAAAGAGAUCUCUGUUUAUCAGACCCCAGUACCUAUAACAUUUGAUAUGAUUUUAAGAAUAAAUUAAAAUCUCAGAAUGAACUAAGAUUAUAGUAGCAUAUUUACAUAUUAGCCAAAGAAUUAAUAGAUAUAUUUUAAGUUUCAGAGAGUUAAAGUUAUGGCCUCUAAUUGUACUAUGAAUCUAUAGUAAUAUGAACAGUUAAAUAAGAGUUAAAUGCUUUGAAAUCAAUUAUGGAUAAUUCUCCCUUGACCCCAAAUAGUUAUUAACAAAGAUGUGUGGUAUUUUUCUUUGUAAUAUAAUCAUAUAGGUACUCUUUGAGGUCAGUAGUAGAAUAAACCACACAAAUUCUACUAAAUAAAAUAUGAGACACUGUGUAAGACACUAAAUCAUGUAAAACUGAAAAGUCACAAAAGAUUCUAAACUAGAAAUAAUUUCAUUCAAUAUAAAAAUUUUAUGUGAAACCAGCUAUGUGCACUUUCUAUCCAGUGCAAUGCAAUGAACUGCAUAAAGUACUUGGUGUAUAAACGUAAUAAAACUGUAGUCUUUUGAGGGUACAAUUAUUUAAGAGAAACACAGAGACCUGAAAUAGGAGUGGUCAGAUUUGUAUUUGGUCUGCAUUUUUGCAACAAAGUAUAUCAUGAAGAUAAUUACCUAGAGAGCUUGAUUUGUUAAGAAAGAUAACUGUUGCUUAUAU